rnacentral:rRNA from 1 species
AAAUUUGAAAUCUGGCGCAAGCCCGAGUUGUAAUUUGAAGAGGGCGACUCUGGGGCCGGCUCUUGUCUAUGUUCCUUGGAACAGGACGUCACAGAGGGUGAGAAUCCCGUGCGAUGAGAUGACCGGUUCCGUGUAGAGUGCUUUCGACGAGUCGAGUUGUUUGGGAAUGCAGCUCUAAGUGGGUGGUAAAUUCCAUCUAAAGCUAAAUAUUGGCGAGAGACCGAUAGCGAACAAGUACAGUGAUGGAAAGAUGAAAAGAACUUUGAAAAGAGAGUGAAAAAGUACGUGAAAUUGUUGAAAGGGAAGGGCUUGAGAUCAGACUUGGCGUGUUGCAUGGGGCUUCUUUCGGGGGGCCUCCUCUGCGGCGCGUUGGGCCAGCGUCGGUUCGCUGGGCGGGACAAUUGCGCAGGAAUGUGGCUCUAUUUUGAGUGUUAUAGCCUGCGUGGAUGCCGCCACGGUGGACCGAGGACUGCGAUUCUAGGACGUUGGCAUAAUGAUCUUAAGCCGCCCGUCUUGA